rnacentral:rRNA from 1 species
AGAGUUUGAUCCUGGCUCAGGAUGAACGCUGGCGGCGUGCCUAAUACAUGCAAGUCGAGCGAACGUCAUAGAAGCUUGCUUCUAUGACGUUAGCGGCGGACGGGUGAGUAACACGUGGGCAACCUGCCUGUAAGACUGGGAUAACUUCGGGAAACCGAAGCUAAUACCGGAUAGGAUCUUCUCCUUCAUGGGAGAUGAUUGAAAGAUGGUUUCGGCUAUCACUUACAGAUGGGCCCGCGGUGCAUUAGCUAGUUGGUGAGGUAACGGCUCACCAAGGCAACGAUGCAUAGCCGACCUGAGAGGGUGAUCGGCCACACUAGGACUGAGACACGGCCCAGACUCCUACGGGAGGCAGCAGUAGGGAAUCUUCCGCAAUGGACGAAAGUCUGACGGAGCAACGCCGCGUGAGUGAUGAAGGCUUUCGGGUCGUAAAACUCUGUUGUUAGGGAAGAACAAGUACGAGAGUAACUGCUCAUACCUUGACGGUACCUAACCAGAAAGCCACGGCUAACUACGUGCCAGCAUCCGCGGUAAUACGUAGGUGGCAAGCGUUAUCCGGAAUUAUUGGGCGUAAAGCGCGCGCAGGCG